UUGCAAACGUGAGCUGUGCGUACAUCUUCUCCUGUGUCUUCAAGGGCUAUUUGGUAGUUCACAGGACCCAGCUGCUGGAGAAUACGGUGAUGGAGAUGAUGAACUACAUCAUAGGAGGCAGCGUCUGGAGUUAGAUUAGGCCCACAGAGUAUUUUGUCCAUUGGACUUUGGAGUUUUCUACCAAGCUGGAGUUCUGCUGGGGUUAGUCCAGUGGUCUCUUGAACAGCUGAAUUAAGGGCGAAUCUGAAUUCUGAUGAAACAAACUGAGCGCCUCUAUCUGAGAGAAUGAAAUCCGGUACGCCCCACCGUGUUAG